rnacentral:rRNA from 1 species
AGUUCCUAUAGCGUAUAUUAAAGUUGUUGCGGUUAAAAAGCUCGUAGUUGGAUCUCUGCUGAGGACGACCGGUCCGCCCUCUGGGUGAGUAUCUGGCUCGGCCUUGGCAUCUUCUUUGAGAACGCAACUGCACUUGAUUGUGUGGUGUGGUAUCCAUGACUUUUACUUUGAGGAAGUUCGAGUUUUUCAAGCAGGCGCACGCCUUGAAUACAUCAGCAUGGAAUAUUUGGAUAGGACGUUGGUUCUAUCUUGUUGGUUUCGAGAGCAGAGUUAAUGGUUAAUAGGGAUAGUUGGGGCAUCCGUAUUUAAUUGUCAGAGGUGAAAUUCUUGGAUUUGCUAAAGACGGAGUACUGCGAAAGCAUUUGCCAAGGAUGUGUUCA